rnacentral:rRNA from 1 species
GACGAACGCUGGCGGCGCGCCUAACACAUGCCAGUCGAGCGAUGAAAUUCUAAUCGAUCUCUUCGGAGAGAAGACAAAAUGGAUUGGCGGCGGACGGGUGAGUAACACGUGAUAAACCUGCCCUUCACAAGGGGAUAGCCUCGGGAAACUGGGAUUAAUACCCUAUGACACAUUUCUUUCGCAUGUAAGAAAUGUUAAAACGGCUGGGGUGAUAGAUGGUCUCGCGCCUGAUUAGCUGGUUGGUAGGGUAACGGCCGGCCAAGGCCAGGAGCAGUAACCGGGCUGAGGAGCUGAACGGUCGGGUUGGAGCUGCGGCACAGUCCACACUCGUACGGAGGGCAGCGGUGGAGAGUAUUGCACGCUGGAGGAUACUCUAGUGCAGCGGCGCCGCGUGAGAGAUGAAUGCGUUCGUGUCGUAAAGCUCUGUCCGAUGGGGAGAGAGUGACGGUAACGUAGGAAGAAGCACCGGCUAACUACGUG